rnacentral:lncRNA from 1 species
AAAACAUUAUAAAAGGUUCUCAUGAAAUAUAUCUAUCAUUGUCUAAUCUUAUGUAAUAAUAAACGGAUUAUUGUCCUCCGGCUUAACUUAGCAAAAUAGCGAUAAUUGCUUCUUUUGAAGUUGAGUGUAAGUUUAGCACUUUUGACAGCCAUCGGAUUAAGUUGUAAAAUAGUAAAUCUAUAAUCUCUUUGGAUAUUUGAAAUAAGAAACAUUAUAUUUAAGAAUAAAGAAACAUUUAAAACAAGAAAUAUUCAAC